rnacentral:rRNA from 1 species
AUACGGAGGAUGCGAGCGUUAUCCGGAUUUAUUGGGUUUAAAGGGAGCGUAGGUGGGAUAUUAAGUCAGCUGUGAAAGUUUGGGGCUCAACCUUAAAAUUGCAGUUGAUACUGGUUUCCUUGAGUACGGUACAGGUGGGCGGAAUUCGUGGUGUAGCGGUGAAAUGCUUAGAUAUCACGAAGAACUCCGAUCGCGAAGGCAGCUCACCGGGCCGGAACUGACACUGAUGCUCGAAAGUGCGGGUAUCAAACAGGAUUAGAUACCCUGGUAGUCCGCACAGUAAACGAUGAAUACUCGCUGUUUGCGAUACACGGUAAGCGGCCAAGCGAAAGCGUUAAGUAUUCCACCUGGGGAGUACGCCGGCAACGGUGAAACUCAAAGGAAUUGACGGGG